rnacentral:pre_miRNA from 1 species
UUGCCACUGUGAUGUUGGCCCGGUUCACUCAGAAAAAAGACGCUGCGUUUUCCAAGCAGAAAGCUUGAGGUUCUUACGUAGCUUGAUGGUCUUUGAUUGAGCCGUGCCAAUAUCUUAGUGCCCUUU